GCCAGAAGGCCCUCGGUGCUGGACCUCAGUAUCUGGGUAGAACGAUGGGGGUGGAGACGCUCCUUCAAGCUUUUUAAUCAGCCUUUUAAUACAUCUUUUGACCUAAAUAUGUAAGAUAAUCAUGCCAUAGAUAGUAUUUUCAUACUCGAAUAGGAAAUAAUGAAGCUAUCAAACCCAGUGUAUUUCACAAUGCAAAAUUAUAUGGGAGCUUCAAACACAAACAUGCACAGGUACUUGUUUCACUUCACUGAUGUCUAAUUUGUAAUUGAAUUUUUGAGAAAAAGAGUCAACUUACGGGAAUGCUUGUGCUCGUCAGGAUCCUCAUCUGGAAAAUCAAGGAAAAAUCAUAGAAGUAUGGCAGUGGAGGUGUCUUACCCCAGUAAUGGACUGGAUGAGAGCCAACAAACUGAUGUUCCAUCCCGAUAAGACUGUCAGUGGGUAGUUCCCUAGGCUGGAUGGGAGUUUGCCUACUCUUGAUGAGGUUACACUCCCUCUGAAGGAGCAGCAGGUCUCUCCACAAAGAUGUGAAGCUGGAGUUGGGUGCCCCUUGUCAAAGCCUUUUCCAAAAUGCCCAGCUGCAGGCUUUUACCAUUCUCAACAAGGAAGGAAAUGGAGGACCCUGCUGUGGAAAUGGCUUAACUUGUCAGACUGAACCUGCUCCUGGAGAUCCCAGCCAUUGACCAUCAAGCUUGCUCCUAUCUGGAUGAUCCUGAAUUUUUACCUGCAUAAUUCUCAUCUUUGUCACGAUAGAGUGUUGGGAUGCUGAGAACUGGUUUCUAAGUCAUACAGUUUUUUGAACAAUAUGUAUUAAAUGUCUGUGUAUGCUACUCAUUUUUCUGAAAGCCUUUGUCUGAAUGAGUGGGAAAGGAUGGGUGCAUUAUGUUUUAGAAGGAAGAGAAAGCAAACAAUAUACCAAGAGCUUCUUUUCCUACUAAUGCAUCAUCCAAACUAAGGUGGCCUGGGCAAUAACACAUUUUCAGUUUGUGCAAUGGCCAUUUACUUCAAUUAAGCUUCCACAGAACACUUUCUAGUGACCUGUUCUUACUUUGUUUGAAUUUGGGCCUGAAUAAAAUAUGAAAAUUGUAUUAAAUGCCUACGUAUUUCAGGAACCUGAAGCCAGAUAUCUCUUGUAUUGCAGACGUUUGCUUGACUAUCUCACUCAUAUAUAACCAAAGGGCAGAUGCAUUUACAAUUGUAAUUAGCUGUUCAUAUUAGAAAGUGCUCUGUACCAUAGAGAAAACAAAUCUAGUUUACUUCAAAAAUUACCUGGCUGGAGAAAA